ensembl:lncRNA
CCAUUUCUCUUCUCACCAAAUUCAUGCUUACCUUUGAAUAAGUCCAUAUAACUUAAGAGCUGUUUAAAGUCCUUCUCUGAAAGUCUAUCAUCUGUAUAAUUUGAGUCUGUUUCGAUUGACUGUUUUUUUCCUGAUUAUAGAUAACAUCUGGCUACUUCUUGACAUAUCAAGUAUUGACAUAUCCACAUAUUAGUGGAUAAUGACCAUUGUGCUGUAUGCUGAGUGUCUGGAUUUUGUGGUUAUCCUUUAAAGAGUGUUGAGCUUUGUUCUAGCAGGGAAAAUAACUUGCUGAUCAGCCUGAUCCCUUCCAGGCUUCUUUCCAAGACGUUUUAGAGCAAGUCUAGAGAAGUCUUAACUCUAGAGACAAUAACACUCUACUAAGGCAUGACACCUCUCUGGUCUCUACUGAAUGUCCCAGGUGAUCUCUCUGCUUAUAGUGGUUGGAGUCUCCUGACUCUGUGACUUCUGUGACCUGCUCAGCCUAUAGCUCCCCAGUCAUCUACUGCCUGGCCUCAUGGAGUUAUGCCUUAGGCAUACAUGUAUGAGUAUUUAGCAAAGACUCUGAAGUACUUUCUCUAUGUUGCUCUCUUUUUUCUGAAAGUCUGCUCCACAAUUUUGAGUCACCUCAACCUCCAAGAUCUUCGAUAUCUGUCCUCUCAACUUACUUAGACUGUGGUGCUCUGCUUAGGAUUCCCUUUCCUGCAGUGAGAUCCAGAAUGUGAUUCCAAGCAGAAAGUCAAGGGCUUACCUCACUUGUUUCCUUUUCUUGGGAAUCAUAAUACAUACUGUCUGUUGUUCAAUUUCUGAAAACAGUUGUUUUGUCUAGUUUUUUCCAGUUUCCUUAUUGUUUAUAACAGGAAGAUAUGUCUGGACCCUAUCAGCCCACCAUGGCCUGAAAUGGAAGUUCAACUAUUAUACUUUUAUUUGUACAUUUACAGAAAAGGGUAAACCUCAAGACUGGAAGCAGGGAUAAUCAUGUUAUAAUAGCAAAAUGAAACAUGUACAAAGAGUGAUGUCUAAGAUGUAUUCAUUAAAGGAAGUAUGGUGUCUAAGACUAGGAAAGUGAUAAUCCAACUUAAUUCCACUCCACACACAACUGGCCUUGCUCCUCCAUUCAUUUAUUCCAUAAAUCUGUUUUGAGCACAAUCUUUGUCACUGUGCUAAGCCACUGUGUUAAGCUAACAGGAUGAAUGAGAUAUAGCCUUUGUCCUCAUAGGCUAGGGAGAAAUAGACAGCAUGGAAAUAACAAUACAUUAUGAUAAGUAAUAUAGGAGAGAGAAUCCCAGGGGUUAUGAGAACACAAAGGAUGGAAAGCUGUCCAACUUGAGUGGGGGUGGGAGUAUCAAGAUGCACUGUCUAUACCUUUGUGUCUUUGGACCCGUUGUGACACUUCCCAUAUUUGAGAGGUAACUUGAAGCUGUCAAGUCAAGACAUUACAUAUACAAAUCCAUGCUAUUUAUUAUGACCAUUAUUUCAUAAAACUAAAGACAUCUCAUCCUUUAAAAUAAAAGGAUAAAGGACAAUGUUUUCAAUGGAUUAAAUUUUGACAUAUGGAAAAUUAAAAAAAAAAGAUGGCUGUCUACAGGAGAUAAUGACUUAGGAGUGGAGUCUUGAUGGAUGAGUAAGAAUGUGUCAGAUGAAGAAAGUGGGAGGAAUUAGGGUUAAAGCACACACAUGCAAAACUAUAUUUAAUUUCUUUAGGGAAUUAUAUAUAUUUCAGAGUAGAUGAAGUGUCACAUGGAAAGAAUAAGAGUGGAGUGAGAUGAAGCUAAAAAGAGAUGUAGGAGCUGAGUAAUAUAAGGUAUUAUUUUAAAACUUAAUUCUAUUCUAGGAGAACUGAGGAACUAUUGAAUAGUUUAUCCAGGUGAAUAACAUGGUCUAAUUUCUUUUUGAAUGUCAUGGGCUGUAGUUUGGAAAACAGGGAUAUAUGGAGGAAACAAUAAUCCAUCAGGGAUACUUAGCAUUAAUUUAGGCAAAAGAUGCUUUGGACCUAUGGACAGUCUAUGGGGUCACACAGAGUUGGACACGACUGAAGUGACUUAGCAGCAGCAGCUUUGGACCUAAGCUGUUAUUAGAAAUGGGAACUGAGAUAGUAGAUGAGUGAGAGGUAUUUAUAAGCUGUAAACAACUGAGCCUGAAGACUGGCCAGAUUUGGGGAGUAGGAAAGAGGCAGAAGCCAUAGACAGUACUUGGAGUUUCGCUAGGAUGACUCAAGUUUUCUAUUAAGGGAUAGCAGAUUUCUUUGUUUCUGUCUGAAUUGAUAUUGUUUUGCCACGUGUGUGAUUCUAGCCUUCAGGUUACCUGGGCCUGUGUACUUCCUUUGGGUAUUUGAAAUUGUUUCCUGUCUGCUAAGCUGCCUUUCAUCUCCUGCCUCUGCUAAUAGAAUCUGUGAGCCAGUACUCCUGGCUGCUCUCCUGGUUCUGCUUGGACUACCAGGCUGGGUAACUUAUCGGGUCUAUCUAAUUUUUCUAUGGGACUUCCCAUAUCUAUUUCUAUGACUCAUGGAAAAUUAUGACAUGGAGCUGGCAAAAUAAUACUUGGAAGUCAGCAGUAGAAGGCAGUCAGGCACCAUGUGGUACAAUAUGGCAAUUUUGUCACCAAAUAAUUAAAAGCAUAGAUUUAUCAUUUCAUUGAUACAUUCACUCAACAUGUUGCAAUUUUACUAUCCUUCAUAGGUCAAAUAUAUUGAUAACUUAUUAAUAAUUAUAACUCCCCCAUGUAUAGAUAUAGAUAUAGUCUUGCAAGAUUGUAUUGGGUAAGAAAGAUGUUGAUUUCCUUGCACUCUGGAGAUCAAUACUGAAGGAUAGAGGUUCAACCGUCCUGGGUGUUCAUUGGAAGGAGGGAUGCUGAAGCUGAAACUCCAGUACUUUGGCCACCUCAUGCAAAGAGUUGACUCAUUGGAAAAGACCCUGAUGCUGGGGAGGGAUUGGGGGCAGGAGGAGAAGGGGACGACAGAGGAUGAGAUGGCUGGAUGGCAUCACUGACUCUAUGGUCAUGAGUUUUAGUGAACUCCGGGAGAUGGUGAUGGACAGGGAGGCCUGGCGUGCUGUGAUUCAUGAGGUCGCAAAGAGUCGGACACGACUGAGCGACUGAACUGAACUGAAGAGCUGAUCAAGAAAAACUGUUGGGACCAUGGCAAAGACUUCUUGCUGUUUUGCUAUAUGGGUUCUCCUCUCCUAUUUUGGUAAUAGAACUGCUAAUUUUUAGGUAAGUGCCUGUCCCAUAAUAAAAACCUUGUAGUUAGGUAGGUGUGUCAAAAUCCCAACAGAAAACAGAUGACAUACUCAAAAUGGGAUAAGUCAAAGAGAUUUUAUUUAUAAAAGGCCUAUUUACUAAGAUUGGGUGUGGAGGAACUAUCAGUAUAAUGUAGUAAUCCAGUGUUCAUAGCAACUAGGCUGUUAUCUCCCUCAGGGCCUAACGGGAUGAAGGGAGGGAGCAGUCACUAGAGACUAGAAAAAGAGAGAAACAGGUAAAAUCAAUCAUUUUUCAAGGAUAAGUAACCCUCAGUUAAAGUAUAGAGCCCACCCAGUGCAACCUUGAAGGGAGGGAUCCAGAGAAAUAAAUGCCUGAUCUUGUGUUUGUUUGUUUGUUUGUUUGUUUGUUUUUUGAUCUCUUGCUACAGCCCUUGGAGAAGGAAAUGACAACCGCUUCAGUAUUCUUGCCUGGAAAAUCCCAUGGACAGAGGAGCCAGCGGGUUACAGUCUCUGGGGUCACAAAGAGUUGGACCUAGCAACUCCAUAACAUAAGAGCCCCUAUUGUCUGAACUAGGGCCAUAAAAACCAAGGAUUACCACCUCCCACUGAUGAGGUGCCCACAGGCCACCCCUCACCCAUGGCAGAGAGCAGAUGAAGAGGAACAGGUAGUGGGCCUGGAGGAUCAAAUAGAUGGCAUGUGGGAAUUAUGUAACUACACUUUGGCCAGUGGAACAGAAUUAGAAAUAGAGUGAUCAGCUUUGAGGGGCACACCUUUAAAAGAUGGGGCAUGUCCUUCUCCUUCCUAUAUGCUGGACUGGUGACUGGAAUUUGAGCAGCCAUCUUGGUCAUGAGAUGAAAGCUCUAUCCUGAGAUUGGCAGAACAUGAGAGAGGGAACUUGGAUGAUCAGCAGGCAUCUCCACACCUCUCCUCUGCACACAGCCCUUCUUUCAAGCUCCAGGAGAGUCUGUGACAAGGAGUGGGCUCCCUCUGCAAGACAUCCUGAUUCCUUUGAAGAAAGGCAGCCAGGAAAUGUGAAGCAUGGUAAUGGUGGCCUUUUCAGGAGUGGGUGGGCUGUUUUAUUACUAAGAGUUGAGUGACAGGCUUCCCAGCAGACUCGAAAGACAGAGCAAGAAGAGCUUGCUUCUUCACAGCACUGAGUGAUGCUCGCUGAGGGGUUAUGGUUCUGAUAGCUGAACAGCCAAACAGCUUUCCUCCUCCAGUGUUUGAAGGUCUGGUCUACACCCUCCCAGGAAUGCAGCCAUAGAAUUAGGAGUCCAAACUUCAGGAAGGUAGGCACUGGGAAGAAGAUUUGGACCCAUUUGAAGAAAGAACAUCAGAGCAGGCAGGACUGGUUUCUGAGUCCCUGCUAUGAACAGGUUUUUUGGACGGGUGACCCGCAAACACCCUUCCCAGGCCCAUGAUUUUGAGAUGCCAUGAGUCAGGGGUGCAGGCCUUGUUCUGACACUGCCCCUCACACACCAGCCUCAUUCAAAGCCUCAGUCAACAUUUGCUGCUGGCCUGCUGGGCACAGUAAGAUCUGAGAGGCACUUAGAUGAAAUGACACCUGAAUCACUUCAGCUUUAACGCCCAGUCAAUCUCUUUCUAGGAGCUGAGACGGUAGCACCGAUAUCCUUAAAAUGACAUCACAACAAAAAGAGAGUUAACACCAUGUAUGCCAAUUGUGUGUGUGUGAGGGGGGAAGGGGUUGGUCACCCAAUUUGUGGAUCAUGUGGCCUCAAGCAAGAGCUUCGACCUCACCACUCAGCAAACACAGGUAGCUUCACUGUACUUGUUGGUUCCAUGGUGAAUCAAGACCUUGGAAUUCUUCACGAGGAUAUCAAAUCUCUUCAAAUUCCAAGAACAGUUAGGAAGCCUUUCACCCCUCGAAAUCUUUGUACCUGCUAUUGCGUCCUCUUCCUACAACCCUUACAGCCUGUUUCAGGUGUCUAAUGCUGUGUUAACAAAGCACCCCAAACAUAAUGCUUUAUAAUAAAACCACAAAAAUCUCUAUCUUGCCCCCAAAUCUGCAAUUUAGGCAGACUGAGAGGGAACGGCUCGACUCUGCUUCAUUCAGUGUCAGCUGGGUGUCUCUAAGGCCGGGGGCUGAAAUUAACCAAAGGAGGGGUCCCUGGGCAUCUCCCUCCACUGCGCAUGGCUUUUCCACGUGGUGUCUACCGCGUGUCAGUUUCAGGGUAGCCAGACGUCUUACCAGACAUCUCAGGCCUCCCGAGGCAUAUAUCCCGAGACAGGGAGACAGAAAACCAAGCAAAAUCCAGGUUGCCUUUCAGUGACCUAACCUCAGAAGUCACAUGCAUCGCUUCUCCGCCCUCUCUGGGAGGAAGCAGUCAAAAGCCGCCACCCAGAUUCCUGAGCAGGGAACGCAGAGCCCCCUGCUUCUCCAUAUGAGGCAGGCCAGUCUCACUGUGAGAGGAGCAUAUGGGACGGGAGAUACAGCUUGCUGCGUCCAUUUCCAAAAGGUAUAAUCUGAAUCCACUCUUUUCUGUCUGAAAAACCCUUCUUAUGCUUCAAGACCCGGCUCAAACAUCACCGCCUUUAUAGAGCCCCCAAGUUCCUAAGAGCAGGUUACCUCCUUGAUGAGGCCUAACUGCACUUUGUACCUCUGCUUUCAGAGCACGUAGCACCCUGAAAUGACAUCUGUCUCUUUCUGGAGUCUGUGAAUGGCG